GCCCGGCCUCAGCUCCCUGCGUCCUCUCGCGGCGAUGGGAACGGCCGGGGAAGGGCGGCGAGUGGCGGUGGCGAAGCGGUCCCGCCGGGAGUCGGGCGACUCUGGACCCCGCGCCCGCGAAGCCCUCCCCCUUGGGCCCGAGGGGCGGGGCGCGCGCAGGGGGGCGGAGCCGUAGCUGGAUGGUCGGCCACGCCUCCGUGACGCCCGUCCCGGGCCGCGGUGAGUGGCGCGGUUUCUAGGUCUCUGGGGCAACGGAGGCCUGGGCUGCCCCGGCAGAUGAGUGGGGCCGAGGGACGCCACGGGAAGCGGAAAGGGGACCCCGGGCUGCGCGCUCCCCGCUCCCACGAGCGCGCGCGUGCCUGCGUGUCAAAGACCCUUGGCCGCAGCUGCUGCGGCACCUCUUGCCAAGUGCCUGCCUUCCUGGCAGUUUCCGAAGUGACCUCUCCUGCGAGCUGGCAGUGCCGCUGCUCACUUCCAAGGCUGUCUGGCGACUCUAGGGGAGGAGUUCUUGUUCAGUUUAGAGGGUAGACGUGCCUUCCCAGAGAGCUAGGUCUCCCAAUGUGUUCUUCACAGCCGGACCGUUUAGGAACCCAGGGAAUUGCCUGUGAAGUGCCACUCUUCAGAAAGUGUCCCUUCUCAGUCCCUAGUCCUUUACUGAGUGCCAAGCACUGUGUCGGGGUACAGUGGAAAAGAUCCCAGGAAGACCUUUGUUUAAGGGUUCCUGUUACCAGGGGACCCAUUUUCUCUGCCUAUAGACUGAUGACUGAAUGCUAGAACAAGGGUUCCAGAAGCCUUGAAUUCUUCAGUCACCUUUUUAUCAAGUAAACAUAUAUACCAGGCAAGACUGCAGCCAGUAUGGAACAACCUUAUCUCCUGUUUCCUGUAUCUCUAAGUCCUUCCACAGCAUGGGUCCUGGAACUCUGACUCAUGGUGAGUAGAGAAAGCAUUGCCAGACCCACAGACACAGAACAGCUUUAUUAUGGUCUGACCUCUCAGAUGGAGAAGCUCCAUGUGCUUCUUAUAUACAGCUGAACAUGUAGGUGAGGUUAUUACACACAGAUAAUA